rnacentral:rRNA from 1 species
UACAGAGGGUGCGAGCGUUAAUCGGAAUUACUGGGCGUAAAGCGUGCGUAGACGGCUAUCUAAGUCGGGUGUGAAAGCCCCGGGCUCAACCUGGGAAUUGCAUUCGAGACUGAAUAGCUAGGGUGCGGUAGAGGGAAGCGGAAUUUCCGGUGUAGCGGUGAAAUGCGUAGAUAUCGGGAAGAACACCCGUGGCGAAGGCGGCUCUCUGGGACGGUACUGACGCUGAGACGCGAAAGCGUGGGGAGCGAACAGG